UUUCCAUUCAGCCCAUUUUUUUCAUUUUGUCCGUAUUGUCCCCGAGGCUCAAUCGAGAGAGAAAAACCCUAGGGCUCCCAUCGCCGUCGCGACCACCCAAGCUCCGAUCGCCGUCGCGACCACCCGAGCUCCCGUCGCCGUCGCGACCCGAGCCGUGUUUCCGCCAAUCGAUUCUCGCCUUCUCACUUCCUUUUCGGCCUUCCUCCACUCUGUUUGGCUCGUUCGUUUUCGUUUCAAUCUCGUCCUCGGAUUUUGAUUUCCUUAGAUCUGGUUGUAGCUUCACCGGCACCUCUAUUUCCGGCAAGGUCAGGUCGCGAUUUCCUUAGAAGAAACGAAACCUCAGUGAGGCUUUAACAGAUAUGAAAACUCGAGCAUGUCAGAGGAUCAAAUUUCAAAUCUCGUGACAGAAAGCUUGGCUGCUGUUGGACUGAAGGGAGUUGAAGAUCAAUUACCUUCUGAGUUGUCUGGUGGAAUGAAAAAAAGAGUCGCCUUAGCUCGGUCUAUAAUUUGUGAUACUACAAACGCAGCUAUAGAGCCAGAGCCAUGUAAUGUUGUUCAUCACGUGACCUAUGUAUGUUGAUGAAGCGCAAUCAAUGUCUUUCUCACAAGCAUCGUCUAUUUCUCAAACUCAAGCUCAAUCUCAAGGGUCGUCUAAAAGAAAAAGGAAGAGUACAAACAAUGCGGCUUAUGAAGGCAUUGAAAGAUCAUCUAGUUUACUUGCUGGUGUUAUUGAAAAGGCAAGUGAACGUUUAAGUCGGGCUAUCAGUGAAGACAUGAUGGAAAAACAUAGCCGGAUUAGAGAUGAGCUACAAAGGACCACAACCAUUAACGCAAUGGAACGACAUAAGGUAGCUCGGACGAUGAUAAAGGAUGAUGCUUUAGUUUCUUACUUUUUUAGUAUCCCUGAUGAUGAAAAAGAUGAGUGGGCUAGAGCUUUGCUUGCUAGUGAUAUUUAGGAGUGUUCGUUUAGUUUCAGUGGAAAAACAUAAUCGGAUUAUCUUUUGAUAUAGUGGUGGAUGUGCCAUGUAUUUCUCUUUUGAUAUAGUGGUGUAUGUGCUAUGCACUUCUCUUUUGAUAUUGUAACUAAUUAGGAUUAUGCUUCACUUUGUUAAAUUAUAGUAACUAGGAACGUGCUUCACUUGGCAUAUAUAUUUUGGGAUUAUAUUUUUCAGGGAACAUAUCAUGAUAGAUGUCAAAAGUUAUCAUAUU